AAGUUGCUGUGAUUAAUGCCGCAGCACAAAGGAGAGUUAGGAGCUUUUUGAAGGAUAAUGCACUUAAGUUAUUAUUAAUGCGAUUUGUUUGGAUGAGGUGCAUCCGGUGAUGUGAACAGCUGGAUCAGUGGGAAUGUUGCAGGCCCUGCGUGGUGCACCUAGCGUUUCACACAUGAGCUGGCAGACCGGAGAUGGGAAACAUUUUCACAAUCACCCAGAGAGCAUUACACUCCAACACCGACACAAAUGUGUGUGAAGAUUAAGUUUGAAAACUCAAGUGAGCAAAUGGAAUGAAACCGCUAACAAGAUGACUCCAUGAUUUCUGCAUGCCUCAGGGAAGUUUCAGUCUGGAUGAAAGCUCAACACCUUCUCAGCUCAA